UACGUAGGUGGCAAGCGUUAUCCGGAAUUAUUGGGCGUAAAGAGCGCGCAGGUGGUUAAUUAAGUCUGAUGUGAAAGCCCACGGCUUAACCGUGGAGGGUCAUUGGAAACUGGUUGACUUGGGUGCAGAAGAGGGAAGUGGAAUUCCAUGUGUAGCGGUGAAAUGCGUAGAGAUAUGGAGGAACACCAGUGGCGAAGGCGGCUUCCUGGUCUGCAACUGACACUGAGGCGCGAAAGCGUGGGGAGCAAAUAGG
rnacentral:rRNA from 1 species